rnacentral:rRNA from 1 species
CUCCUGGAAACGGGUGGUAAUGCCGGAUGUUCCACAUGAGCGCAUGCGAGUGUGGGAAAGGCUUUUUGCGGCAUGGGAUGGGGUCGCGUCCUAUCAGCUUGUUGGUGGGGUAACGGCCUACCAAGGCGUUGACGGGUAGCCGGCCUGAGAGGGCGACCGGCCACAUUGGGACUGAGAUACGGCCCAGACUCCUACGGGAGGCAGCAGUGGGGAAUAUUGCACAAUGGGCGCAAGCCUGAUGCAGCGACGCCGCGUGCGGGAUGGAGGCCUUCGGGUUGUAAACCGCUUUUGUUCAAGGGCAAGGCACGGUUUCGGCCGUGUUGAGUGGAUUGUUCGAAUAAGCACCGGCUAACUACGUGCCAGCAGCCGCGGUAAUACGUAGGGUGCAAGCGUUAUCCGGAUUUAUUGGGCGUAAAGGGCUCGUAGGCGGUUCGUCGCGUCCGGUGUGAAAGUCCAUCGCUUAACGGUGGAUCCGCGCCGGGUACGGGCGGGCUUGAGUGCGGUAGGGGAGACUGGAAUUCCCGGUGUAACGGUGGAGUGUGUAGAUAUCGGGAAGAACACC